rnacentral:tRNA from 1 species
GCCGGUGUAGCUCAGUGGUAGAGCAACUGAUUCGUAAUCAGUAGGCCGUCGGUUCAAAUCCGAUCACCGGCUCCA